rnacentral:misc_RNA from 1 species
CCCAAUUAACAGAAACCAAAGUAGCACAAUAGGAGCAAAGAGCCAGCCAACUCUAUCUGUUCCAUAGUGUUGCAUGCAAAACAAACCCACUAAUAUUACAACUGCAACAACUACAACUAUAUCAUUACUGAUAUUGGGGUGGUCUACCAUGAUCCCACCAGCAGCUGAAAGAACAGAUAUAGCGGGAGUGAGAAUCCCAUCCCCAAUCACCAUACAAGUGCCAACAAGAACAAGAA